rnacentral:rRNA from 1 species
ACGUAGGAGGCGAGCGUUAUCCGGAUUUACUGGGUGUAAAGCGCGUGCAGGCGGUUUAGCAAGUCGUGCGUGAAAGCGCUCUGGCUCAACCGGGAGAGGACGUGCGAGACUGUGGUUCUGGAGGCAGGCAGAGGCAGGUGGAAUUCCGGGUGGAGUGGUGAAAUGCGUAGAGAUCCGGAGGAACCCCAGUGGCGAAGGCGACCUGCUCGGCCUUGCCUGACGCUCAGACGCGAAAGCAUGGGGAGCGAACGG